UUCAUCCAAAAAAAAUAUCGAACAUCCCGUCUCUUAACUGGAUUUCCGUUUAUAGAACUGGAUUUCCUAAUCCGUGUUUCUGGCGUCUUUGUGCACGCUCUAUAUAAGAUAAGAUGCAUUCGCCAUGUAUGACUACAGUUUGGUUGAAAUCUUCUCCAGUUGUUUGUUCCUGUUGGGUACGCAACUGAAGAGAUUGUCCAGUCGAUAUCUGAGAUUGUCAAUUCGCUCAGUAAUAUGGAACAAAGACGUGGACGUGGAUUGAACAAGCAGUGUGGUCGUGGAUAUUUUAUUUUGAUUAUACGUUUCUUUGUUCAAUUUCAAAGCUUAAGGUACUCUUUGUAACGAAUCACCAAUUCGUUUAUUAUUUGAAUGUGCUGCUUUCACUUUCACGGAUAUACCUAUUGUUUUAAAUGUUGCGUAUUUGCCAAUUUAGGGACAAAUAAAAUCAUAAUGUUUGAGAUUGUUGUGUAGUAGAUACGGAACCUUGCUGCAGUAUGGUAUUGGAAAUCCUGAAUUUGUUUUAAAUGAAUUUAAUUCCGAAAAGUAACGCGAGCAUGGAACUGAGGUAUGGAUUAGACUCUGUUGACUCAUAAUGGGGAAAGUUACCAUGUUGGGCUAUUCAAGAUCAAUCAUCAUCAUCCAAAAGUUCGAAAUGUUUUAUAUAUCAUGUUUGCUAAUGGAAAUUAGUGAUAGGAAGUACCCAUGUAACAUGUGAAGGAAUCUUAAAUACUAACUCGAGCAUAUAGGAAUGCUCUUGGAAGGGGGUUUCUUCCAAAAACAACACAAAAGGUGACUUUUAGUUGAUAUAAAUCAUGAGGACAAAGCCUGGUUAGUUUUGGGUUUUGAAAGGUGUAGAACAUUUAAACUAAAUGCUUACAGGAUGUCCAAGUCAUCGGUGAAUCAUCUUUUUGUUCAAUCUUCACAAUAGUGACUGCGUAAUGAGGAUGUUCCGCUUGAGAAGCGGAAGGCAAGAAUGAUCAAGGUGGUUACAGUACCACGGUUUCGGCUGGGGUGUUAUCAAAUUCAUCUUAUGCAAGAUGGAGUCUAAAAUGGGUCAGAUUCAGGACUUAUUGACCUCCUUUAUUGCAUGUAAGGAUUUGCGGGAGGACGUCAUGUAACUCUUUCUCUGAGGUUACAUGUUAAUACGACAUCAACGAUUGGACCUACUUCUGCGACGGACAAGUGCUCGUAAUUGGAAGAGAAUGCUUCCCUCACCUGCCAGCUUCAAGUGUUUGCUUUGUAACAUGUGUUGCCAUUCUUUUAGGAGAAUAUCCAAAUACAGCUCCUGAAAGAUAUCGGGCUAUAACAUUAUUUUGUUAGUACGUAAUUCACUACACUCCUGACGCUGCUGAUCACCCCAGGACCAAUCUGAUAUAUCAUGUAUUUGUGUAACGGAAAUUAUUAAACCAUGCGAGGAUGUACAUGCCUGAAAUCAGUCUCACGGAAUAGUUGAUCUGUGAAGGUUGAUUUUUCAAUAUAUAGGUAUGUAUUUCUGGUGUGGAUUAUGUCGUGGAUUACAUCGCGGCGCAGAAGGAAGCUAACUUUUACCUGACCACUAAACCUAGCCGUGGCUAUUGCGGGGUA